rnacentral:rRNA from 12 species
UCGAUGUCGGAACUUUUAGCACGGGAAGCCCGAAGUCCCAAGGCGUCUGACUGCUUACCCGCUAAUUGGGGACGCGAGCUGGAUUGAUCUUGUCGCGCGACAGAUUGGCCUUCC